ACACUGGUGGUUCAGCAGUAGAAUUCUUAUCCUCUAUGUGGGAGACCUGGGUUCGAUUCCCAGCCAAAGCA
rnacentral:tRNA from 1 species